AGAGCUAGAGUGUGUACUGUGUGUGUGUGUGUGCACAAGCAUGCUGCCAGCAUUUCAUGAGGUCUUUGACUGUGGGUGUGUGCUCUUGUCAUGUCUGUGAAUUUAUGAAUGGGCAGAGGAUGUGUGGUACGUGUGGUCAUGUCUGUGAAGGAGAGACCGCGAGAGGGAGGGAGGGAGCGAGCGAGGGAGGACUCAGUGCUGGGGAGAGAGAGAGACAGACAGAGAGAGAGGAGCACACACCAGCAGCUCAUCACCAUCACGGCAGAGAGAGGAGAGCGGGGCGGAAAACUAAAAGAGCUAGACCAGACUGCUGAGAGUCUCUCCAAUUACCUCACACCAAACCCCAGAACACCGCCGUCAAACACUCCGGCUCCGCCAUGGAACAGAAGUCCACCUCCCCCCAGAGGCAUCCUGUGAAGAGCAGGUCCAAGUCCACAGAGGAGAUCCAGCAAGCCAAAAAGGCCUUUCACACUCCUCAGAAGUCUCUUCCUGGCCGCUCAGACUUGGAAAAAGUAAAGGAAGGUCCGGAGGAGUCUGAGAUUCCGUCCUCAUCCUCAUCCACUGAAGAGUUCAAGUGAUGUUUACCCAGAGCAUGAGGGCGAUACCGGACAGCACACACAUAUUUCCUAUUUCUCCCCUUCUGAACAUACUUAACACACACACACACACACACACAAACACAUCAUAUUCUAUUAGAAUAAUUUUUUGCAAUGAAUGAUUUAUAUUAUGAUGAAGGGUAUUUGGAAACUUGAAAGUCUGAUUAAAAGCCCCCUCCCCUCCCAAAAGCAUCUGUAUAUUCAUGUACUGCCAUGAUACGCUGAGUGGCAUAUACCAGCUGAAUGUCCAUUCAUAAUAAAGUAGUUGUGCCGAGACUGGGGCCUGUUCUCCUCUU